rnacentral:rRNA from 1 species
UACGUAGGGGGCAAGCGUUGUCCGGAUUUAUUGGGCGUAAAGAGCGUGUAGGCGGCCAGGUAGGUCAGCUGUGAAAACUCGAGGCUUAACCUCGAGACGCCGGCUGAAACCCUCUGGCUAGAGUCCGGAAGAGGAGAGCGGAAUUCCUGGUGUAGCGGUGAAAUGCGCAGAUAUCAGGAAGAACACCCGUGGCUAAGGCGGUUCUCUAGUACGGUACUGACGCUGAGACGCGAAAGCGUGGGGAGCGAACAGG